rnacentral:rRNA from 1 species
GGCUACGGCCACGCCACCCUGAACAAGCCCGAUAUCUGAUCUCAGAAGCUAAGCAGGGUCGGGCCCGGUUAGUACUUGGAUGGGAGACCACCUAGGAAGACCGGGUGCUGUAGACA